AAACUGUCAGCUGGCUGCUUGUUAAACUACAACAUCUUAUUUUCUUCUUCUACACAUGUUAAACACAGAGGAUGGACCAUGUGGCUGUGGAGGCGUUUGCAACAAACAGAUUUGUUCUUAAAAUGCAUGUACGAGUGAUUUAAGAACAUUUAUUCAUCAGUUUACAUACUUGUGUUCUUCACAGAGGAGAAACACUCACAAUUACAAUAAUAAAGUCUUAAACUGAAUUCAUUUAGAGCUUAAACAUGAUACCAAAAUCAACAAAAACUACAUAUAUAACUAAAACAAACAAUGCAAAAUGAAUAUUCUGUUUACCAUAUUAUCAUCAUCAUCAUAGCUGCCAGUUUACUGAGACGUUUUGUUAGAUUUUACGGUUUUUAUUGGCAUAUUUUGGUGCAACAGCUUCUCUAAAGUCUCACUGCAUCAGCCGCUUCAGUGUGUCUGCAGCUUUCUGUCCAGCGUCACGUCGUGUUUCAGCUGACGUUGGUGUAACAUCACCUACUGAAGGUACUGUAAUAUUCUCUCCUCUAAUGUCUCAGCGGCUGUCACAUCCUUGACCGCCUCCCGUCACAAAGCACUUUGCUUUCAGAGAGAUGUUUUUUUAUCUAACUUCAUGUCAAAGCUUGUUCCCCUCUUUAUUUCUGUCACAGUGCAGAGCAGGAGACUCAUUUAUAAAACAGUGUGUAGCAUCUAAAUCAAAAAAGUGUACGUGCAUACUAAAGCUGAAAAUGGCGUGCGCCCAAAAAUAAUCAGAUUUAUAAACUGUGGACACACACGAAUGCACAUAUUUUUCCCCCUUUAUAAUUCACAAUCAACUUGAAAAUGUGCUCACAUGGACGACCUUAUAUCUCACCCCCUUUCACUCCCGCAAUAAACCUUAAAUGGUCAAUGCAAAAAGCCGGCUGCAGCAAACAAAACAAUUCAUUAAACCAAACAAAGUGGUCAGACAUGGAGGUCGGUGCCAAGAAGCGCAUUGCUGCACACAGUAAGGAGAUUUCCUGUUUCCCACAGCUGUGGCAGAAGACUCGAUGCAGUAGAUGGCUCAGAAAACUAGGAGGAAAAUGGAGAGCUGGUGGCGUGAUGACAGGACAGAGAUGCUGCAAGGAUGGAAAAAGACAGUUUUAUCCCAGAAAAAUGUCUUUGAAAAUCACCAGUAAAACAUGCUCACUGUGAACUGGUUUGAUGACGUCCAGGCCACAUGAAGGACACUGUGAGUCACGUCGGGAUCAGACAUGAACUGCACUUUAAAGUCUUGUCCGCCGGCAUUUAAACAACCUAAAACUGAGGACAGUUUUGCCCUCAGUGUCCUGGAUGACAACGAGAAUAUGUCGGGAACUCGUCUUGCAGGGACUGAUUCAGGAAGGACGGUGAUGCUGCAGGUUUUUUGGGAUGAGUUUUAACCUCACAGCAGCCGCUGACAAAGUGACUGCUGCUGUCCUGACUGCAAAGUAAAGGUCAGUCCAGUGUGGAGGAGGUGAAAGAGGAAGGAUGGAGGGCUGUUCACCAGAGAAGCCUGAUUUCAAAAAGUCAUUUGUGCAUAUUUUUAUGUACACUAUAUUUGCAGUAUUUCCACAGUGAGAAUAAAUGAUUAUACAUACAAGACAAAAAUAUACAGACAAUAACACCUCCCCCAACUCCCCAAACCUGUCAACAACAUCUACGGCAACACCUCAAAUCAUUACAAAUAACCUGCCCAGUCAGUGCUCUGUGAUAAAAACAGAUGCCGUCCCUGCAAGAUGAGAAAUCACCGUCAUGCAACAAGGAGAGUGAUUAGGUUACAACAACCAAAAGAUAACGAGAGAGAAAAAAACAAGAAAAAGCCAAUUAUCUCUCCAGCAAAUCCCCUUAUUUUCUAUUAAUCAAUUGACCUUCUUUCUUCUAUAUAAUAUUUGGCAGUUAGUCAAUCCUGCCAGCUGGGUAUUUCCAGUCCCUCGUGGCACAUAAUGUACAAAAUAAACUCCAUAUUUGACUAUAUUUCCUUGUGUAUAUUUUUUAUGAAACAAACACCUUUUUUUCACCUUGUGGGAAUCAUGGGAACCACUUCCAGUUUGUAGGCAAUAAAUAAUGUGGGAACAGCCAGUCACACCUUAAAAGGAAAGUUUGAUAUGUUGGGAAAUCGUCUUAUUUUCUUUCUCGUCGAGACUCAAAGGAGUCCAGUGAAACCAGCAGCAGACUGAGAUGUUUGGUUAUUUUUGUUUCUGACUAAAUUGUGCUUUUUUUUUUGUGAAACACUGGAUACUUUUACCUUGGACGUUACCUGUGACUGAGGUGUUUUAAAGGGUCAAAAAGGUCAAACAGGUUAGUAACCACCGGGUUAAACCAUCCGUUCUAACUGGUAUCCAGAAGGCUCAGACUGGUCUCCUCUCAGUGAACUCUGAGGACGUCUGGGAGUUCCCUGUUUGUCUGGGAAAUGUCAGUCCACUCAGCACCACUGCCUAUAUAUAGACACACACACACACACACACACACACACACACACACACACACACACACGUCUUCCUCUGGAUUCCUCGUGUUUUUCAUGUUCUGUCCUGCCCUCUCUCUCCUCCGUCUCCUCCGUCCUCCUCGGCUGCAUGGGGCCGCUCUGCAUCAUUAAUGAGGUCUCACACACACACACACACACACACACACACACAGUGUGUCUCCUCUUACGAUCAAUACGUCCACAAAAAGCCUUUCCUCUGAGUCUCCCUCCUCUCCUUUUUCUUCUCUCUUCACUCUUCCUCUCACACCAUCAGAAGAAAAUCAAGACAGAUUCUAUUUUAUUCUGUUCUGUUAUUUGUAUUAUUAUUAUUUUAACUAUUAAUAACUAUUAUUUUAACUACUGUUGCUGUACUCCGCUCUGCUACUUGUUCUAUUAAAGGAACAGUUCAACAUUUUAGGAAAUAGUCGUGUUUUCUUCCUCUCCCUAACCAUAAGCUAACCAUAACCCUCAGGUUAUGGUUAGCUUAGCUUAGCGUUUAGCUUAGCUUAGCAUCUCCCAAAAACCACAAAAUAUUUUUCUUCAUUUCUGUUUGUGUUCAGACUAAACAAACAAGGUUAAUCAGUGAACUUUACAGGUGUUUGUAGGUGUAUUUUUUAAACUUCUUGUCUCAUUUCUUCUUUUCUCUCUUCUCUUCUCUUUGCUUUUCUCAAAUCAGAUUAUUAAUUAUAGUUAAUUAGCUGGUUUUUAUUCCUCUGUCAUGCCAAAGAUCUGACCCAUUCCACUAUUUUACAAAACCUGCAUCUUCUGGUAACACAAAAACAAAAGAACAUCAGUUAUAAGUAUUUAUAUGCUGGUCGGUCCAUCAACUCCAGAAUGACAUGUGAGUCGAUGUUUUGGGCUCUUGCAGUAAUGACUGAUCCUGUCGUUUAUUCAUAUAACUUAUUAUGUUCAUUAUAAUCUAAGUUAUAUGACCUGUUUUUGUUUUUUUCUGCUCUUUAUGUUUUGUUUUAAUCUCUAUAGUGAUGUAAAGUUUCUGUAUUCACAUUUCAAAUUUAUUCUUCAAUCGAUGUUACUGAACACAGAAACUCAGGACUCUCCUGGGUAAUAUAACCAUCCCACAGGUUUAUAUUAUUAUUACAUAGAUAUAUACAUAUUAUAUUGUUGCCAUGGUGCCAUCGUUAAUGACUUUACUCCAAAGUGACUCAGAACUGAUUCAAUCAGAAGCUAAAGAUUACAGUGUUGAGAAAAACACUGUCCUCCAUUAGCGGUGCAUGUGACCAAAUUUUAAGCUUUUUAAUUGGAUGUUUCUUUGCACUUUGGGAGUCGUAAUUAACUUUGCAGGAACCAGCAGUGCCUGAAA